UUCUACGGCCAUGCCACCCUAAAACAAACCCGAUCCUUUCUGAUCUUGGAAGCUAAUCAGGGUCAGGCCUGGUUAGUACUUGGAUGGGAGACCACCUAGGAAGACCAGGUGCUGUAGGCG
ensembl:rRNA 5S_rRNA 5S ribosomal RNA